GCUUUACCCUGCNAGUCGAGCGGGAACUGGGCUUUAGAGGAACGGGGACAGCGGCGAUCGGGUGAGUAAGAAAAGGGUAAUCUGCCCUCGGUACUGGGAUAGCCCGGGGAAACCUGGCUCUAAUACCGGAUAGCCCUUCGAGCCUUCGGGCUCGCAGGAAAAGGUAGCUUCGGCCUCCGACCGAGGAUGAGCCCGCGGCGGAUUAGCUUGUUGGUGGGGUAACGGCCUACCAAGGCUCCGAUCCGUAGCUGGUCUGAGAGGACGAUCAGCCACACUGGGACUGAGACACGGCCCAGACUCCUACGGGAGGCAGCAGUGGG
rnacentral:rRNA from 1 species